rnacentral:rRNA from 1 species
CCUACGGGAGGCAGCAGUGGGGAAUAUUGCACAAUGGGGGAAACCCUGAUGCAGCAACGCCGCGUGAAGGAAGACGGCCUUCGGAUUGUUAACUUCCGUUCUUAGUGAAGAAGAAUGACGGUAGCUAAGUAGCAAGCCACGGCUUACUACGUGCCAGCAGCCGCGGUAAUACGUAGGUGGCACGCGUUGUCCGGAAUUACUGGGUGUAACGGGAGCGCCGGCGGGAAGCCAAGUCAGCUGUGAAAAGUACGGGCUUAACUUGUAGACAGCAGUUGAAACUGGUUUUCUUGAGUGAAGUAGAGGUUGGCGGAAUUCGGAGUGUAGCGGUGAAAUGCGUAGAUAUUCGGAAGAACACCGAUGGCGAAGGCAGCCAACUGGGCGUUAUCUGACGCUGAGGCUCGAAAGUGUGGGGAGCGAACAGGAUUAGAUACCCCUGUAGUC